ACGGGGGGAGCAAACGUUGUUCGGAAUCACUGGGCGUAAAGGGCGUGUAGGCGGCUGAAUAAGUGGGAUGUUAAAUCCCCAGGCUCAACCUGGGAACUGCAUCUCAUACUGUUCAGCUCGAGCACAUCAGAGGAGACUGGAAUUCCCGGUGUAGCGGUGAAAUGCGUAGAUAUCGGGAGGAAGGCCGGUGGCGAAGGCGGCGCUCUGGAACGUUUCUGACGCUGAGGCUCGAAAGCGUGGGGAGCAAACAGGA
rnacentral:rRNA from 1 species